rnacentral:rRNA from 1 species
CAGAAAUUAACUGCGGAGGCUACACAUGCAAGUCGAGCGGAUGAAGGGAGCUUGCUUCACUGGAUUCAGCGGCGGACGGGUGAGUAAUGCCUAGGAAUCUGCCUGGUAGUGGGGGAUAACGUCCGGAAACGGGCGCUAAUACCGCAUACGUCCUGAGGGAGAAAGUGGGGGAUCUUCGGACCUCACGCUAUCAGACUGAGCCUAGGUCGGAUUAGCUAGCUUGGUGGGGUAAAGGCCUACCANGGGCGACGAUCCGUAACUGGUCUGAGAGGAUGAUCAGUCACACUGGAACUGAGACACGGUCCAGACUCCUACGGGAGGCAGCAGUGGGGAAUAUUGGACAAUGGGCGAAAGCCUGAUCCAGCCAUGCCGCGUGUGUGAAGAAGGUCUUCGGAUUGUAAAGCACUUUAAGUUGGGAGGAAGGGCAGUAAGUUAAUACCUUGGCUGUUUUGACGUUACCAACAGAAUAAGCACCGGCUAACUUCGUGCCAGCAGCCGCGGUAAUACGAAGGGUGCAAGCGUUAAUCGGAAUUACUGGGCGUAAAGCGCGCGUAAGUGGGUUCAGCAAGUUGGAUUGUGAAAUCCCCGGGCUCAACCUGGGAACUGCAUCCAAAACUACUGAGCUAGAGUACGGUAGAAG